GACUCUUAACAGUGGAUCACUCAGCUCGUGCAGCUCAUGCAUCGAUGAAGAAUGAAGUUAGCUGGAGAAUUAAUGUGAAUUUCAUGACACAUUGAUCAUCCACACUUCAAACACACUUGUGGCCCCAGGUUCCUUCCAAGGCUACGAUAAAAAAAAACACA
rnacentral:rRNA from 1 species